GCCUCCUACUCCAGAUCCAUUGUCCUUCCUACAAUUCUAGAGUUAUCAAGUCUAGAUAACCAAAGGAUAAGAGAUAUCAAAUUGGAAGAGACAUUGGAGGGCCUUUGGACCAGAGGUGUCAAACUCAGCAUGGGCUCACUCAAUUCUACAUAAGGAUCCAUGAGGGCAGCAGAUCAACUUGGAAAACUGCAUGUUAUUACCGGGACCCAGAGAUGUUAAGCCACUUGCCCAAGGUCACACCAAGUGACUAAGGGCAUAGUCACUCAUUAAUGGGCCAGCAGAGAUAAAAGAGACCUUAGGGACCAGCCAAUCCAACUUGCAUCUGAGAAAAUAACAUACACGACAACAAUUCCAAGGAGUCAUAAUCCUGACAUGGUUUGAAGAUUUCCAGGAAGAGGGCUUGGGGUAACACACAGAAAUCCAGAUGGGACAUCUGGCCAGAAGAAAACAUCAUUCCGAGACCCAAAGAAGGCAUUUAAUCCAGUUGAUGUCAAUGUGACCUGGUGAUGUCAGUCAAUGCCUUCUAGAGACACUUGAUUUCUUAACUGGUCUUUGGCUUGUAAUCGUUUGAAGGUCUCACUGAAGUUUUGGGCAAAAGUGUUCAAGAAACUUGAGCUUGUUCAUAGGAUCCAGUGGCUGCAUAUGAGUUCAUGUUAAAGUUUAAGAAUCAGAGUCAGAAAGAUUUGUUCUGAGUAUACACAGGCUGUGUAACCCUGGAUAAGUCACUUACUUGUUUGUGCCUGGAGCAACUCCCUCGUAUUUUCCUACCACAUCAUGGAGAGUGUAAGAUUGAUAAUGGUUCUCACAUCUGUUUUCCUAGCCUUACCCUCUCAGAUCACAUCUAAUCUCACAUCUCCAUCUGCUUUUCCCACAUCUUCAGCUGGGUGUCCAAUAGAAUAGUAAACUUAACACAUCCAAAACUGAACUCAGUAUCUUUCCCUUUGUAAUGUAUGGUCAGAAAGAGGGUCACACACCCAUACGCAGAGAAACUGGAAAAAGAGAGAGAGAGAGUUGAGAGAAUGGAGAGGGGGUAACAGAUUGAUCUCCCCCUCUCUUCUUCUUGGGGAAGAUAACAUGGUUUUGUCUCCCUGAGGGACAGAAUAUGUCUCCCCAGAAAGUGGUUCAGGGAGGUAGAGGUUAAGAACUAGAGGAAAGAGCUGUGGUGAAAUGGCACAGUUUCCCUUCUUGGUCUCAGGUAUUAUUGAGAGACAAGAUGGACCUUCCUGUCUCUGGGUCCUUCACAUACACCAACUGCCACUUCUCCCCCCAUCCAAGACCUGGGGUUACUCCUCUGCCCAGGGGAGAGGAUUUCUCUUUAGAUCUAGUUGUUGGGUCCUUAGGAUCCUGAGCUAACCCUCCUAUUUGGGGAGAGAUAUGGUUCUCCCCAAAUCUUCAGCCUUUUCCUUAGUGUCAGGAACUAGGCAGACCUGAUCUAAGUAGUAAACACUUUAUUUGGCUUCACUCAGAUAAGGGAGAGAUGAAGGUAUUAGGAGAGGAAAGUGGGUAGCAGGAAUCCCUAUUGACUGGCAGCCAGACCCCCCCAAAUUCUCAGGGAUCCAAGCUCUCAGCCUUGACCCCUCUUCUGGUCAGCUGCUGGUUUGGUCCUUAAUCCUGAGCUAAUCUACCUUGAGUAAUGGAGUCCAGGACAAGUUAGGGAGUGAGAUGAAGAAUAGAUAUUUGGAGAGAUUUCUCAGUAGACUGCUUCCUUCAAAGUCCCAGUCUAUGAUAUCUUAGGCUUAGUGAGAGAUUUCAGGGGAUCACUGGGAAACAGUUGGCAUCCAGAGGGGCCCUGGCUUAGGAGAUCUUCUUCUCAGGCUCUCAGAUGGAGCAGUAUCCCAGAGAUCAGUUGGAGCUCCCACAGCUUUUAUUUUCUGACUUGAAUCUUGAGUUUUUUUCUUCUUUCCUCCCCCAUGCUUCCUCUUUGCAGAUGAUUUCUACUAAAGAUUUCUCUCUUACAAAUUCCUCUCUUACACCUUGAAAUUCUCUCCCUUGAGAGCAUCACCAUUCUCUCAGAUCUCCAGGCUCACAACCUCUACUCUUCCAAACUAAUAUUGGGCCAAAGUCUGACAAUUUAACCUUUGUAAUACCUCUCAAACAUGUCACCUUCUCUACUCUGACAAAUCCACGACCCUGAUACAUGCGUUCGUCACCUUAUAUCUGUACUAUUGCAAAAGCCUACUUGGUGGGUCUAUCUGCUUUAAUUCUCUACCUAAUCUAUCUUCCAUUCAGCUGCCAAAGUAGUUUUCAUGGAGACCAGGUCCAACCACUUCAUCCAUCUACUCAAUAAAACUCAAGGAUCAAAUAUAAAAUUCUGACAUUGGCUUUUUUGCUAUUCCUUAAAAAAGAUGAAUAAUAUAUUCCAUCUCUAAGCUCUGGACAUUUUCUCCUCUUCUCUAAUUCCUGGCCUCUAUGAUUCCUUUUAAAUCCCAGCAAAUGUAAGGAAUAAUGAUCUGGAGAAUUUCUAUACCAACUGGAAGAACCUCAAUGAACUGAUACAGAGUGAAAUGAGCAGAACCAAGAGAACAUCGUACACAGAAAGUAAAACACUGUGGAACUCUCCAAUGUAAUGAACUUUACAACUAGUAGCAAUGCAGUAAUCCAGGACAUUCCUGAAGAACUUAUGAGGAAGAGUGCAAUCUACAUUGGGAGAAAGAACAAUGAGAGUUGAAAUGCGAAAGAAAAAAAAACAUAUGACUUAUCACUUGUAUAUAUGGGUAUAUGAUUUGAGGUUUGGGCUUUAAAGGGGGGAGGGAGAGAACACAAAUCAUGUAAACAUGGAAAAAUAUUUUUAAAAUAAAUUUUAAAAAUUUGUAAAGAAAAUGAAUAAAUAAAAUCCCAGCAAAGCCCUACCAAUAUCUCUCAAUUACAUAGCAUUUCCUCUCUUAAUUAUUUCCUGUUGGUCCUACUAAUUAAUAGCUUGCUUGCACAUAUUCAUUUACUUUUGGUCACUAGAUUGUGAGCUCCUUGAGAGUAGGAAAUGUCUUUUCCCUCCCUUUGUAUCUCUAGCAUUAGCACAGUGCCUGGUAUCUUGAAGAUACUUAAUAAAAACUUAUUGAUCCACUGACAAGAAUUUUCUUUCUCAUUCCUCAUAUAUGAUCCUUCCAUCCUCCCAGAAUCUUCUCUCUCCAGAGAAAAUGCCCCAAUUUUUAACCCUUAUAUUCUGUCUUAGAAUCAGUACUCAAUUCCAAGGCAGAACAACAGUAAGGGCUAGUCAAUGGAGAUUAAGUGACUUGCCCAAGGUCACACAACUAAGAAGUGUCCAAAGAUAGAUUUGAAGCCAGGAUCUUCCAUCUUUAAGCCUGGUUUUCAAUACACUGAGCUACCUAGAUGUUGCUCCCCUAACUUUUUAAUUUAUAUUUGUUUUAAUUAAUAUAUAUGCAUUCAUAUUCCUUUGUCAUCCUGGUAAUAGAAGAAAAGAAAGUAGAAUCAGAGUUGGGAAGAAUAUCAAAGAUCAUCUAGACCUACCACUGUACUGAUAACUCCACAGGCUUCUGCAUUCCAGUAUUUUUGAUCAGUGGCUAUCCCUUCCU